GGAAGGGGCUGGGGAGGCGGAUCCAGAGGUGGGCGGCGAGGUGGGAGCUCAUUGGAGCCGGGCAACGGAGGGAUCCGGCGCGAUGGCGCGAAGUCCUUGCAGGCGGAGGCGGGUCUUCAUGGCUGGUAGGCAGAGCUCUGCAGGUAUUGCCCCUCGCCCUCUUUCCAGCAUGUUUCCUCUAUCUCUCUCUAGAGUGGUGAGCGCCGACAACGGGAAACGGGUAGUGCACAGGGUGGAUCUUGGCGAGUGCGGAUGGGGCAACACGGACGUCGAGCACCCGCACAGGCUUGCCGCAGAGCGUACAACAUGGCAGGAAGAUUGUGUGGGAGGACAAUCGGCAGGGAGGCAGGAGAAUGAGCAGCGAGUGGUGCUGGCAGAUCUCCGCCCUGACCUAGGUUGAACAGCUACACAGGGACAGACACAUGCAGCCGUUCGAGCUCAGGUGAGGUGGUGGCGGGGCCAUGUCGUGUGCCAGGCAAGGUUGAGGACGGCUGGGAGGUCUUCACCAGUGGCAGCUGGUGACGGAGUGGCGAGGCCGAUCUGGCCCUCUCUGUUUUGUUUCCCUGCAAUCAGCACAGAGAAGCAGAAAGUUGCUGCUCUUAUGUCAUAUGACCUAACCAAUCUCUCUCUCUCUCUCUUCUCUUGAACUAGCACUAAGGAGCCGACGCUGUUGGUAGCACUGAGAAUGGAGGGAACAUUAAGUCAUUCUCCUACAAAACCAGAUGUAUAACCAUUUUUUGCUGUUCGGAUGGUGUCCACGGCGGCCAACUACAGCUGACUUGUGUGCUCUUUUUGUUAAAAUAAAUCUAUUCUUCAGUCCAUGCUAUUGUACGAGACCAUUUUUUGCUGUUCGGAUGGUGUCCACGACGGCCAACUAUAGCUAGCUUGUGUGUUCUUUUUGUUAAAAUAAAAUCCAUUCUUUAGUCCAUGCUAUUGUACGAGUUUGAUGCGGUAGGUUGAAAAGUUAUUGGAUUUCGUUUGGUUCCUUGAGACUGAGAGGCAAUAAUUUUGUUUGAUUAGUUUGUUGAAGCUACGCACACAUAUAUGGCUAAGCCCUAUUUGUUGUUUGGUGUUAUGCAAGCAAAGGAUUUCGUCCGGUAAAACACCCAGCAACAGGAGUUUCUAUAAUGUUGAUUGAUUCAGAAACCCAAACAGUAUGGGUGUAGUUCUUGCAAUUAGAAUUUUAGAAUUACUAAUAUCCUUUUGUUCCAGUAUAAUUAUUUUUGCUGAGAACUUCUUCAAGAUGCUCUGCAUCCUCUGUGUGUAAUGCACUUUGUUAUUGGCGAUGACCUGUGGAUGGAUUAUGCCGGUUGAAUAAACAACAUCUUUGCACAAACUAACAUUGGAACAUCCAGAAAUUGAGAAAGCUUCUUCUCUGUUAACAAAAUUGUCUACUCAGGACUGGAAUUGGCGUAGGAUUUUCGGGUGGUUCUGUGAAGUAGCAGGUCUAGCUCACUUGGCCUUAUGCUUUUAAAGAUUGUUGUGUUUCUCGUUGUCCAAAUGCUCCAGCAGCCAAGGGUGAUCUACUCGAUGUAAAAAGGUUUCCGCAGAGAGCCCUUCAGAGCAAUAAUCUAUUUAUUGGCAGAAGACAAAUUGGUUUGAUCAAAGGCAGGGAAUAAAUAUUCAGAAGACAAAUUGCAGACGACAACCCAGCUCAUCAACUCCACUAUGGCUUCCAUUAGCAAGGUCUGGUAGCAAGCCAACUACACGCUACUGUAAUUGGGGUGCAGAAGAUGGAGGGGAAUGGUCACCGUUGACAAAAGUGCAUUGAGUGGUUGGCAUCCUAAGUAAUGGGUGUCAACGGCUAAUCUACCAUAUCUGGUGAGUAUAUUGCAUGUGUUGUCCUAACAUAUACACAUGUUUAUUUUGAACACUUGCAUUUCUGGCUGCUAUUAUUUAACUGAUGAUGAUGAUGCAACAUGCACUAAUUCUCUAUUUUGGCUUCACUUUCACUGAAUUAUUCAAAACUGUGCACUGGUUUUUAAUCUACGUAGCUAAUUCUUUUCAUCUCACAAACUGCACAUAUGAGCUUAUGAAUAUGAAAAAUGACUCCUAAGACAUGAAACCAUAGUUAUGGGAAGCCAGAUAAGCCAAACUCCCUACAAUUUUCUUAUUUAUUGUUUUUCUUCAAGAUUUUCAGUGAACUUAGGAGCUCUGAAUAUAAGAACCAAGUAUCACUACAGAAAUGACACAUAUAAAAAUGGUCAACCCUGUAUUGAGAAAGCUAGAAAAUGAAGUAUGAAAAGUGUAAUUCUAUUAGAACUCCUAAAACCUUGUCUUCAAUGUGUGCGAUUGUAGCCUCUUUGCGAUUUUGGUUCACUUACACAGGAAAUACUAUUAGGAGCACACUAUGAUAAAUACAUGUAAAGUUUAUCAUCGAUAAAUGAAUAUGAAUCAAAUUUAGUUUUCUUAUGUUUACUAUACAGGAACUGAUCAUUCAUGAUCACUAUAAGGAUAAAUUGGUGGGUUUACUUCAUUCAGCAGCAUAUACAAAUCUAUUUGUUGUGUUUUUGGUUACUGGUAUUACUGUUUUGAAGGGUAUAAAUAGCUAAAUAAUUUUAAUUAUGUUUUUAGUCUCAGUAUACAGUCAAACAGUAGAUGUCGUAAUUUUGUAGAAGGAAUGCAACCCUUGGUAUAAUAGUGAUUUAUGUUUUUUAUGUGACAUGGAGCGAUCCGUGACUUUCAAACACAUGUGAAUCUUGUGAUCUGCAAAAUUUAUGUUACAUGCUCAUGGUUUUGCUACACCGCUCUAAUCUGCAACCUACAAAAUUGCUAUCUGCCUAACACAUAAUGUUGGUUGUUAACUCGGAACAUAAUAUCACUAGAGCUCUACAUAUGCAUGUUCUUUUAAACGGAAAAUUACUAUAAGUUUGUUUCUGGCUAAUACACUGUAUUGAAAGCAAUAGUGUGAGAGAAACCAAUCAUGUUCUGUUAGGGAAGAAAAUAUUCUUUAUUUUCUUUAAUUCAAUUAAUAGAUGAGUGUGUUUACCAAAAACUAUACUAUUACUUCUUCUGGUUGAAGGAUUUGCAUGCUUAGUAACACAUGAAAUGCUUAAUGCGAGCUCGAUAUUGACGAUUUCAGUUUAUUAGUUGUUAUCGCCGCCCGAUAUUGAUGAUUUCAGUAACACAUAUUCAGAGUAAUAGUGAGCUCGAGAGUGUGUCUCCUGGAAAGUCAGGCAGGUGUUACCGUUGCCCGGAGCUCAAAUCGGCAAGCCUCUCCGAUUCAGACCUCCUCAUCGCCUUCCGCGCCAUUGUCGAUGCAUACACACAGGCGCUUGAGAAGACCUAGCGACGCGACAAUGAUGACACAUCCCCUAGCUAUAGAUGGCGGCCGCGGCGUAGAUCCCUUGGCCGGGUUCGAGAGUCGUUGCCCGUCCGAUGGCCAGCGCAUGACAUUCAAGGACUGCUCCACCGUGUGCUGGCUGCUCAACAUGCUCCACAUCACCUUCCAAGAGCGCGACGUGUCCACCCACACGCCCUACUGGGAGAAGCUCCGCGUGCUGCUGCCGGGACAAACGGCUCCAUGUCACUGUCACAGCGGUUGUUCGCGGAUGGUAGGUACAUUGUUGGUUUUUUAGACUUGCGGGACUCUGGAAUUACAGUAGUUAGGACUUGCUUUUCUACUUCAAUUCCCAAUUUAGUUUGUGUUAUGAUAGGUUGUAAUCUCUGAACUCAGCAAUCAAAAGUAUUAGUAGGAAGUACCUGUUGUUUUACAGUGUACAACUUCUUCACUGACAUUAUUCAGUAGCUGUAUCUUCUUACCAAAUUCAGUGUAAGUUUUUCCUCUCGAUGUGUUAUAAUCUCCACAGUAGGUGCACUGUGAUUUUCCUUCUAAUGCAUAGAAUGGAAAGUUUAGUGUAAGUGUGAUUAUAAGCUGUAUUAGCCACUUUUCCCAUGUUAAUAUAGGCAGAAGUAGUUUCUCCCAUAUUUUUAUGGACAGUGUACCUGUGAUGUAACCUGUGAUUCUAAGCUUUAUUAGUCAUAACAGACUCUGUUUCAUAUGAUUUUAAUCUCUUUUUCCUUUUGGUGUUAGCCAAAGCAUGUUGAUCAGGUGGGGUAUUACUAUUAUCGAGAAGUAGUGAUCUGCAGGACACAAUCAUGUGAAAUUCAGAAGAUUUGAUUGCUAGGGAUCUCACCUGGAUUGAUCUGCCAUGCUUCGUUGCAGGUUUAUCAUACAUAUCUCCUUGUAAUUUCCUAUUUUCUAGCUUUGCUAUCCUCUUCUUCUUCUUACAUCUUUCUUUUCUGUUCUUUUUACAUAGAAGAGGUAUGUUUCUUAUUGCUGUACCUUUUCCCUAAGUCUUUGCUUAGAGGGGUUAGGUACAGGUGGUCUAGGACAGGGUAGUUCCACCAUAUGAUAUUGGGCCUCGCUAGAGGGCAUUUAUUUGGGGCUGGUUGUAAAUGAUCUAAAAGUUGUACUGAUAUCCUUGACAUAAGAUUUGAAUAAAAUUAAUUUAGUUUU